AUACGUAGGGUGCAAGCGUUAAUCGGAAUUACUGGGCGUAAAGCGUGCGCAGGCGGUUUUGUAAGACAGAGGUGAAAUCCCCGGGCUCAACCUGGGAACUGCCUUUGUGACUGCAAGGCUAGAGUACGGCAGAGGGGGAUGGAAUUCCGCGUGUAGCAGUGAAAUGCGUAGAUAUGCGGAGGAACACCGAUGGCAAAGGCAGGCCCCUGGGCCUGUACUGACGCUCAUGCACGAAAGCGUGGGGAGCAAACAGGAUUAGAUACCCUGGUAGGCCACGCCCUAAACGAUGUCAACUGGUUGUUGGGUCUGAAUUGACUCAGUAACGAAGCUAACGCGUGAAGUUGACCGCCAGGGGAGUACGGCCGCAAGGUUGAAACUCAAAUGAAUUGACGGGG
rnacentral:rRNA from 1 species